rnacentral:rRNA from 1 species
CCUACGGGUGGCAGCAGUGGGGAAUAUUGCUCAAUGGGGGAAACCCUGAACCAGCGAAGUCGCGUGAGGGAUGAAGUAUCUCUUUAUGGUAAGCUUCUUUUGUAGGGGAAUAAAUUGUGGUACGUGUGUAAGAUCCCAUGUCUAAUAACGUGCAGGAUGCGCCGGUAAUAUGCCGGCGGCCACCGUUAUCCGGAUUUACUGGGUGUAAAGGGAGCGUAGUCGGCUGUGCAAGUCAGGAGGGAAAGUCGGGGGCUCAACCCCCGGAUUGCUGUUGAAACUGGACGGCUGGAGUGCAGGAGAGGUAAGUGGAAUUCGUGGUGUAGCGGUGAAAUGCGUAGAUAUUAGGAGGAACACCGAUGGCGAAGGCAGCUUACUGGACUGUAACUGACGUUGAGGCUCGAAAGCGUGGGGAGCAAACAGGAUUAGAUACCCCUGUAGUC